AAGUGAGUGCCUAUAUUUGAGUAUCCACAGUACCCUACCAAAAAUCUUUACGCUACUUUUUCAAGCCUUUUACAUAUGAGAGAAAGAAGCAGACAAAUAACUAAUCUUAAGACAGUGUGACAAGUGCUAUAAAAGGAAUGUAAAUAGUAAUAUUAGAUCAGAGAGUAAAGGUACAUUACCUCCCCUCCGUGGAAAGAUCCAGAAGGCCUCCCUAGAAGGUGAUACUUAAUCUAAUGUUUGAUGUUUUUAUUUAACCAUUAACCAGAAUGGGUUGAAAAAGGGUGAAGGUUAUUCUUGGAAGCAAAGCUAUUUAACCCAAAGUCAUGCAACAGAAGAACCCAACUUCUCAGAGAGCUGUAAAUAUCCAGCUUGGGCAAAAUCUUUUUCCCUUGAAGACUGGAAAUAUUAUCCAUGUUGUCCUCCGGAAUAUUUUCAAUGACUUGUGCCCUGCCAGCUCUAGCUUUUGAAGGGUCUACACUCAUCAUCAACAGCCUCAAAGGAAAUCCGAAUCCUAAGGCAUCAUUAAAACAGGAUCCCAAAUCUCCAUAGCAGAGGAGAGAUGAGACACUGAAGCAGUUUAAAGAUCGGGUUUUCAAUGCGUGACAUAUAACUGUCCAUUUUCAGGCUGGAAAAAUGAAUGGCUUUCUAGGAGGCAUACUGUUCAACUCACCUUUACAACUUUCAAUCACUGUGGCUGAAAUAGAGUCAUGAAAGACAAGAUGUUGAUAAUACUUACAAGAGAAAGAAGAAAUAAAAUCCCUACUUUACGUCUACUUCCUGUAACCAGAUCUGAAAACCUCAGUGACCUCUGUGGAUUAAGCUGUAUUUAUAAUUGUGGAAAUUAGACACGGUGAUGAAACACUGGUUCUUCCAUUUUCCAGAGGCUGUUUUAACACCACAUGAGUGGGGUGUCUAAUUUUUCUGACCUUUGGUUAUUUUAUUCAUACAAGCCAUGCUCACCAAAUGCCUUACUGUGUUAACUAGAAUGGCUUCAGUUAAAUAGCAACAGUGGAGAAAAAAAUAAAUUAAUGCCUCUUCUCAGCAGUGACCUGACAUUACACUUCCUGCCUUUUCUAAACUCUCCUGUAAAAUAUAUACAAUAUUAAAAUUUAAAAUCCUGACA